CUAAGCUGAGGCGUGAUGACGAGGCACUACGGUGCUGAAGUGAUUGAUACCAAGCUUCCAGGAAAAGCCACUAAGCUUCAGUCCAGAAUUGACCGUACCGCAAACCGACACAGGUGGGCAGGAUGAAAAUUCUAAGGCGCUUGAGAGAACUCAGGAGAAGGAACUCGGCAAAUUGACACCGUAACUUCGGGAGAAGGUGUGCCCCGGUAGGUUGUAGUCCCUCGCGGACGAAGGCCGAUGGGGUUGCAGUGAAAUGGUGGCUGCGACUGUUUAAUAAAAACACAGCACUCUGCAAACACGAAAGUGGACGUAUAGGGUGUGACGCCUGCCCGGUGCCGGAAGGUUAAGUGAUGGGGUGCAAGCUCUUGAUCGAAGCCCCGGUAAACGGCGGCCGUAACAAUAACGGUCCUAAGGUAGCGAAAUUCCUUGUCGGGUAAGUUCCGACCUGCACGAAUGGCGUAACGAUGGCCACACUGUCUCCUCCUGAGACUCAGCGAAGUUGAAAUGUUUGUGAAGAUGCAAUCUCCCCGCGGCAAGACGGAAAGACCCCAUGAACCUUUACUGUAGCUUUGCACUGGACUUUGAAUCGGUCUGUGUAGGAUAGGUGGGAGGCUGUGAAACCGGGACGCUAGUUUCGGUGGAGCCAACCUUGAAAUACCACCCUGAUUUAUUUGAGGUUCUAACCUUGAUCCGUGAAUCCGGAUCGGGGACCGUGCAUGGUGGGCAGUUUGACUGGGGCGGUCCCCACCCAAAAGGUAACGGAGGAGUACGAAGGUACGCUUAGGGCGGUCGGACAUCGCCCAUAAAGUGCAAUGGCAAAAGCGUGCUUGACUGCGAGACCCACAAGUCGAGCAGGUGCGAAAGCAGGUCAUAGUGAUCCGGUGGUUCUGUAUGGAAGGGCCAUCGCUCAACGGAUAAAAGGUACUCUGGGGAUAACAGGCUGAUACCGCCCAAGAGUUCAUAUCGACGGCGGUGUUUGGCACCUCGAUGUCGGCUCAUCUCAUCCUGGGGCUGUAGCCGGUCCCAAGGGUAUGGCUGUUCGCCAUUUAAAGGGGUACGUGAGCUGGGUUUAAAACGUCGUGAGACAGUUUGGUCCCUAUCUGCCGUGGGCGCUGGAAAUUUGAAGGGGGCUGCUCCUAGUACGAGAGGACCGGAGUGGACGAACCUCUGGUGUACCGGUUAUGACGCCAGUCGUAUCGCCGGGCAGCUAUGUUCGGAAGAGAUAAACGCUGAAAGCAUCUAAGCGUGAAACUCGCCUUAAGAUAAGAUUUCCCGGAGCCUUGAGCUCCUUGAAGGGUCGUCGAAGACCACGACGUUGAUAGGUCAGGUGUGGAAGCG
rnacentral:rRNA from 1 species